rnacentral:lncRNA from 1 species
CGGAAGAGCAAUCUCGUUUUCAUGGGCCAUACCAGCGCAUUCACCGCACCAAACCGGAGAACCGCAGGAAAAAGAGUAGUACAUGCGCAGAUAAAGGCCGAUUGCACGGACGGACGAACAGGCCCGAUAUGAUCGAAACUGGUAGAUGGUCGGCCCAGCAGAAGUCUCAGACAGGAGAUUGCAGCUUUUUAAGAAGUGGAGGCCCAGUGUCCUUGGUCCGUGUUAUGGAUUUAUUAUGGAUUUUGGGCUCCCGGGCACUAGAUUAACGCAACUUGCCAAAAGCUAGCGUUUCUUCUGAAUGGCUCUCUGAGUCUUUAAAUCUGAAUGGCCCAGCCCACCGGAACAGGGCAACCAUAUAUGCACUAUUUGGACCAAGGUAUGUUCUAAAAGGAUUCUAAAAAAAAAAGGGUAUGUUCUAAAAGAAAAAAACUUGGACCAAUGUAUGCUUGACCGAAUGCAGCUAGGUGUCUUCCAACUGUGCUGUCAAAAGAAAAGGUGUCUUCCAACUGGACACAAAUCAACUUUUUUUUAAAAAUCGAACACAAAUCCAAUUUGGCGCAUCUUUGGCGUAGUAUAAUUUCUUCCCUUAUUUUCUUGAAACAGAGACGCAAAGCUUGACUCAGCCAAUACGGGAGGACAC